CGUUGAUUACGUCCCUGCCCUUUGUACACACCGCCCGUCGCUACUACCGAUUGAAUGGCUCAGUGAGGCGUCCGGACUGGCCCAGAGAGGGGGGAAACCACCACUCAGGGCCGGAAAGCUCUCCAAACUCGGUCAUUUAGAGGAAGUAAAAGUCGUAACAAGG
rnacentral:rRNA from 1 species